AGCAGCCGCGGUAAUUCCAGCUCCAAUAGCGUAUAUUAAAGUUGUUGCAGUUAAAAAGCUCGUAGUUGAAUUUCGGGAUCAAUUAAUUGGUCGUGCCUAUGGUACGUAUUGAUUUUAUUGGUUUCUCCCUUCUGACGAACCAUGAUGUCAUUAAUUUGGUGUCGUGGAGAAUCAGGACUGUUACUUUGAAAAAUUAGAGUGUUUAAAGCAGGCUAACGCUUGAAUACAUUAGCAUGG
rnacentral:rRNA from 1 species